UUGCCAAUUAGAUAAGUUUGAACGACUCGGCUUCCUCAUAAAGUCAUAAUCUCCCUUUUUCUUCGUAAACAAAACCUCUCAUCACCUUCCUCUCAUCAAAUAAUUUCGCUCGGAUUGAAGAUGCGAAUGGAGUUUCAUUCAUCACCGCAACGAGCCCAUCGACCGGAAUUUUUGAAGGGAUAUCAAGAGUGUUCUUCAGUUCAACCCUAGGCAUAAGAGCAUUGAAAACUUGGAGUUAGAAAGACAAAUAUGUUUAAUGUAGAACUAUCCGCGCAUCUCUGUUGUAAAAACAAGCACACCGAAGCUUUGAAGAUGUGUGACGGUGGCAGGGUCAUGCAU